GCACGCGCGGCCGCCGCUUCCGCCGCUUCCGCCGCUUCCGCCGCGUCACUCUCCCCCGCGAAACGCGUUUCCACGCUGAGGAGAAACCCGAGAAGCGGCCUUGGGGUGCCGGGUCCACGCGGGGUGGGGCAGCCGCGGAAACGCCCGGCGGCCCGCGGUCACCCAGGGCUGCGCUCUGCCCGUGUCGGUCGCCCUCGUGUCUCUCCGUCCCCGCGGGCAACGGCCGAGGGCGCCACCCGCAGCCUCCGGGAGCCGGGCCCCUCCGGCCAUUCUCGGCCCACGCCCUCGGACGUCCGCCUGCUCCUGCUCCGUCGGCUUCUUCGUCGCUGGCGGCCCCGCAAGGCCGCGGGGCCCGCGUCACGGGGUCCCGGGAGCUGCCCGCGCCGGGCGGGCGGGCGGAGGCCCCAACGCCGAGGCCCCGACGCCGCCACCUGCUGCUCGGCCGCGUCGCCCGGAGCGGGAGGGACGGAGGGAGGCCCAGGGUCGGGGAGCAGCGGCCACCACCCCACGGGCCCACGCGAGCAGGCGGGCCGCGCCGAGGACGCCCGGCGACGAGAGCCCCGCGGACCGCGAGGCGGGGACACGAGGAGCGGCCAUGGGGCCGCGGCCGACGGGACUGCUCGCCCCCCGCCUCCGCGCGCCGCGCCGGCCGAAGCCUCAGGCCUCCCCGGGUGGGCCUGCCGGGCGCGGCCCCUUUGCCGCCGCCAUAGGGGCCCGCGGCCUACCUGCCACGCGGCGCCGGGCCUACCUCACCUGAGGCGGCUCCGGGCUCCCCCCCCGAGGCGGCACCGGGCCUCCCCGCAGGCAGCGCCGGGCCUUCUCCCCCCCACCCCCCCGCAGCGCCGGGCCUGCCCCCCUGAGGCGGCGCCAGCCCCCCCCGCCCCCGGGCUGGGCCCAGCACCUGCACCCGCCCCCUGCGGGACCCGGCGCAGCAGUAGGCCGGCAGGGCGGGGGCGGCCGCAGGUGCCCAGGUGCACAGGUGCACAGGCGGCGGCUUCCUGCCGGGCACAGACACCGGGGCUGCGGCGCAGGACGGGGCGGCGGGCCUCUGGGAGCCUCGAGGCCGACAAGGGCUGCCCCGCCUCCUUCCAAGGCCGUGGGCGCUUCCUUCCAGGGCCGGGGGUCCCGGACCUCGGGGGUCCUCGUCCGCAGCGCCCAGCCCGCAGCCGCCGGUCCUUAGGCGCCGCCGCGGCCCAGGGAGGCCCGAGGCCCAGGGAGGGCCCGAGGGAACAAUGGAGCCCGGAGCCGCGGCCGCCGAGGGGGAGCGGGCCAGGGGCCGGGGGAGGCGGAGUCAAGGGCCGCGGCGGCCGGUGGGCAUGGAGGGCGGGGCCUGCGCCCCGGGGUGCCCUGCCCUCCGCGCGCUCCGCCCGCACCCCUACCUGCACCUGCUGCACAGCGCGGGGAGCAGCGCCGGCCGCCACCUGCCCUCGCCGCCCACCUGCCCUCGCGGCCCACCUGCCCUCGCAGCCCACCUACCCUCGGUGCGCCCCACCCGCGCCCCUACCUGCACCUGCUGCACAGCGCGGGGAGCAGCGCCGGCUGCCACCCGCCCUCGCCGCCCACCUGCCCUCUGCCGCAGCCCGGCCGCAGCUGGCCACGGGGUGGGAUGAGAGAGUCCACGCCGGAAAAGGCCCAUCUGCCUUGACCACAAAGUCCUUCAGCAGCCGCCGAGCCUUUCGGUGCCGCCCUGAUGCUGCUCCAGGUCUGAUUGCUAGGAUCUCCUUAUUACCUGGGUGGAGCCAUUACGUCGACAGGUCGAAAGGAUUUUUUUUCCCCAGGAGGAUGCAGAUGCUAGUAUCAGAUAUGCCAUAUUUAGAAGAUAAUAUGAGGAAGUAUUUUAGUCUUGUCUCCAUCAUCAUGUAAGGUAAGUAAGCCAAAUUAUCAAUUAGAAUGUGGCAUCUAGAAAGUUCUAUUGGUCUCAUAUUAUGGAUGUCAAAUCCUCAGCCACUACUCCAAGGCUCUUUUGAUCGGCAAAUGGUCGUAUGCAAUUAGUCCUACGAGAAAAUUGGCAAUGAAAGUCCCAGGCUGUAGGCUGGGGGAGGACCAUGAGAGGUGUGCACCUGCCUCCACUACCAGUUCCGUACUCUGGAGGCCACAGAGUGUUGUCUGCACCCAACCCACACAUCCACCAAAUUUCUGCUAAAGAACCAAUGGUAAAGAUUCAUUCCUUUUGUUUGACAGCUUUUCGGUGAAAAACACACAACUUAGGCUAGGCUUUUUUUAAAGAAUGAUAAUUUAUGGGUCUGCAAGUUUUUAAACUUGCAAGUUUAAAAAGGUGACACUGAUUUCAAAUACAUCUGGAGGACAUGUUCACCCACCAAACCAGGCUCUGUGGGUGGGCCAGACAAUCAUUUCUUUUGUUAGACUUGAGUCACCAGCAGCCUACCCCUGGAACAAAGGGUAGAGCCAGUCCUGCCUGCACUACCUCGACAGAGAGGAAGUUUGGGGAGCUCUGCCACAAUAAAAAGAUUGUUUUCUGGGCA
rnacentral:lncRNA from 12 species